rnacentral:ncRNA from 3 species
GAUUCGAUGCGGGAGUGCCGGCGGUGCAAACCACAAGGCUGAGAGGGCAUGGGGCCCAAUCCUUUGAACCUGUCAGUUAAUGCUGGCGUAGGGAGCAUGCCGCCUUUACAG